rnacentral:rRNA from 1 species
AGAGUUUGAUCCUGGCUCAGGAUAAACGCUGGCGGCGUGCUUUAUGCAUGCAAGUCGAACGAGCUACUUUCGGGUAGCUAGUGGCAAACGGGUGAGUAACACGUAAGUAACCUGCCCUUAAGUGGGGAAUAACUCCGGGAAACCGGAGUUAAUACCGCAUGUGGUGUUAGAGGUAAGGCUCUACCACUAAAGCCUUACGGCGCUUAUGGAGGGGCUUGCGUCCGAUUAGCUAGUUGGUAGGGUAAUGGUCUACCAAGGCGAUGAUCGGUAGCUGGUCUGAGAGGACGGUCAGCCACAUUGGGACUGAGACACGGCCCAGACUCCUACGGGAGGCAGCAGCAAGGAAUUUUGUGCAAUGGGCGAAAGCCUGACACAGCGACGCCGCGUGGGGGAUGAAGACCUUCGGGUUGUAAACUCCUUUUCUCAGGGAGGAAUAAUGACAGUACCUGAGGAAUAAGCCACGGCUAACUACGUGCCAGCAGCCGCGGUAAUACGUAGGUGGCGAGCGUUAUCCGGAUUUAUUGGGCGUAAAGAGGGCGCAGACGGUUUUCCAAGUCGGAUGUAAAAUCUCCCAGCUUAACUGGGAGAGACCAUUCGAUACUGUUAAACUUGAGGACAACAGAGGGAGGUAGAAUUCCCGGUGUAGUGGUGAAAUGCGUAGAUAUCGGGAGGAAUACCAGUGGCGAAGGCGGCCUCCUGGGUUGUUUCUGACGUUUAAGCCCGAAGGUGUGGGGAGCGAACAGGAUUAGAUACCCUGGUAGUCC